GACGAACGCUGGCGGCGUGCUUAACACAUGCAAGUCGAACGGAAAGGCCCUGCUUGCAGGGUACUCGAGUGGCGAACGGGUGAGUAACACGUGGGUGAUCUGCCCUGCACUUCGGGAUAAGCCUGGGAAACUGGGCCUAAUACCGGAUAGGAGCCAUUUUUAGUGUGUUGGUUGGAAAGUUUUUUCGGUGUAGGAUGAGCUCGCGGCCUAUCAGCUUGUUGGUGGGGUAAUGGCCUACCAAGGCGGCGACGGGUAGCCGGCCUGAGGGGGUGGACGGCCACAUUGGGACUGAGAUACGGCCCAGACUCCUACGGGAGGCAGCAGUGGGGAAUAUUGCACAAUGGGCGCAAGCCUGAUGCAGCGACGCCGCGGGGGGGAUGACGGCCUUCGGGUUGUAAACUCCUUUCGCUAGGGACGAAGCUUUUUGUGACGGUACCUAGAUAAGAAGCACCGGCUAACUACGUG
rnacentral:rRNA from 1 species